AAGGAGCCUCAGUUGAGGAAAUGCUUUCUUGAGAUCCAGCCGUAAGGCAUUUUCUCAAUUAGUGAU
rnacentral:miRNA from 1 species